CAAAUCAGGUAGGACUACCCGCUGAACUUAAGCAUAUCAAUAAGCGGAGGAAAAGAAACUAACAAGGAUUCCCCUAGUAACUGCGAGUGAAGCGGGAAAAGCUCAAAUUUGUAAUCUGGCGGUCUUGGGCCGUCCGAAUUGUAAACUAGAGAAGCGUUAUCCGCGCUGGACCGUGUACAAGUCCCCUGGAAUGGGGCGUCAUAGAGGGUGAGAAUCCCGUCUUUGACACGGACUACCAGGGCUUUGUGAUGCGCUCUCAAAGAGUCGAGUUGUUUGGGAAUGCAGCUCAAAAUGGGUGGUAAAUUCCAUCUAAAGCUAAAUAUUGGCGAGAGACCGAUAGCGAACAAGUACCGUGAGGGAAAGAUGAAAAGAACUUUGGAAAGAGAGUUAAACAGUACGUGAAAUUGCUGAAAGGGAAACGCUUGAAGUCAGUCGCGUUGGCUAGGGAUCAGCCUUACUUUGGUGGGGUGUAUUUCCUUGUCGACGGGUCAGCAUCAGUUUUGGCUGCUGGAUAAAGGCUUUGGGAAUGUGGCACCUCCGGGUGUGUUAUAGCCCUUGGUCAGAUACAGUGGCUGGGACUGAGGAACUCAGCACGCGCAAGUUGUGCUUAGGAUGCUGUCAAAAUGGCUUUAAUCGACCCGUCUUGA
rnacentral:rRNA from 1 species